rnacentral:rRNA from 1 species
GAUGAACGCUAGCGGCAGGCUUAAUACAUGCAAGUUGAGGGGCAGCAUGAUAUACGCGAGUAUAUUGAUGGCGACCGGCGGACGGGUGAGUAAUAGGUAGGAGACCUACCUCAUACAGGGGGAUAGCAUAGAGAAAUCUGUGGUAAUACCCCAUGAGGUUAUAUGAAUAGAGGCAUAUAAUCAAAGCAUAAGCGAUUAUGCGGUAUGAGAGGGGCCUACUGACCAUUAGCUAGUUGGUGAGGUAAGGGCUCACCAAGGCGAAGAUGGUUAGGGGUUUUGAGAGAGAGACCCCCCCACAUUGGAACUGAGAGACGGUCCAAGACUCCUACGGGAGGCAGCAGUAGGGAAUAUUGGGCAAUGGGCGAAAGCCUGACCCAGCCCAUGCCGCGUGAAGGAAGACGGCCUUAGGGUUUGUAAACUUCUUUACUACGCGAAUAGAGGUUAGUACGAGAUACUAAGUAGGAAGGUAGUGUAAGUAAAAGCAACCGGCUAACUCCGUAG